AUAUUGAUUUGUGGUAUAGAAUGAAUGAGUGUUAUGCUAAGGGACAGAAGCCUGCAGUGAUCUCUCCGUACACAUAUUAGAUGACUUACAUGAAGUGUCCAAAAGAGGCAUAUCAACUAUGGUUUCCAAAAGCCAAUGGAAGGAGAAUCAGGAGUGACUGCUAAUAUGAUGACGUUUCUUUUGGGGGUGAAGAAAAUGUCUUAGAAUAACUAAUGAUGAUUAUGCAACUCUACAAAUACCCUAGAAGUGUGUUUGUAUACUAGUAUGGAGCUAUAAAUAUGUUAGAAUUCAGAUAUGAGUAGAUGGUAACUAAUUAGCCUAUGUACUCAAAUUACUAAUAAAACUAUGUCGGUAACAUUCAGACCAUAUAGUCAUACUGCUGGGUGUAAUUUCUGAGGCCAACAGUUUCAAACUUGAUUCAGUUCCAGUGUUCUGAGAUCUUUGUAUGAGGUUGAUUCUUCCUUAAGCUGGGGCUUUAAUUUUUGACCAGUUUUAAUGCCUAGAAAAAAACUACUUUUUAUUGACCUGAAUUUUCUUCUUUUACCCAGACUUCUACUGAUUCUUGUGCUGAGGUAAUGAAUGAAACAAAGAAGGAAGUCUGUUGGCUCUCUUCACAAUUUCAGCCUUUACCGAGUUGCAACUACUGCCAGUGUCUUCUCUGUCCCUCCUCCAAAGGUGGAUGUGGAGAUGGUGGCCUUCCUAGUGUCCACAUUUUGCCCUUUCCUCUUUAGCUGUUUCCAUAGUUAAAGGAACAAACAUGAAAUUGCAGGCAGUUACACUGGUUGUGAAAGAAGAAACAUCACAGUGGUAUACUGUGUCCUGUGAUAAGCCACAUUUUGGGUGAAAUUGAAGAGUAUAUAAUGCCUGGUCAGAGAGUGAAAUAUUUCUUCUUUAGUGUUUUGGUUGGAAUUUAUUAAUUGAGCAAAGUGAUAGUUUUCCUAAUGAUAUUUUAAUCUAAGUGUAUGUGCUCUGACCACAUUCACUCUAUUACUCUUUCCAGUCCCACUUCCUGCUAGUUCUCUUCACUUCCCCAAAUAGUUCCCCACUAUGUUCAUGCCAUAUUGUCAUCUAUCUAUUUAGUAUGUAUGUAUGUAUGUAUGUAUGUAUGUAUGUAUGUAUGUAUCUAACUAUCAUUCUAUCUUUCAUCUAUCAUCUAUCUUUUCUGUCCCAAAUGGUUCCAAAUACAAGAGAAAAUGUGCUAUUUCUCUUCCUGGUCUCUCAUUUCACUUAACAUAAUGAUAUUCAGUUGCUUUUAUUUUCUCCAAAUGACUUCAUUUCUUUCUUUGCUUCACACAUCUUCCUUAGAUCACAUUGUCUAUAUAAAGCACAGGAAGAUAGAGCAUUAAUCUCUUCAUGACCUACUGUGCCAGUAUAAACUUUAUCUCUACCUUUACUGAUUAUGAUUUACAGCAAAGCUGAAUCUCCAUCUCAUUGCCUGGGUUUGAAUCUCACAUCCCAGCCAUGUUUCACUUUUCCUAUUUAUGAAAUCAGGAUGAUAAAGGUUACAGCUUCCUAGGAGUUAUUAUAAAGUUUAAUACCCAUAUAGACACAUAUUACAUGCUGUUCACACAGAGAGAGGCAGGAUGAGAACAAACAAAAAUGGGUAAGCCAGUUUGGGCUUCAGCCUUUCUUGGCACAGGCCUGACUUUCUUCAGUUAAUCCUUUAGUCAGACCUGUUAACUGGUAGGUACUUUGGCUUAAUUGAUACUCCGAGGCAAACCAGUCCUUCCUUAAUCUGCUGACCUAGAUUUCUUGUUUCUACAAUUCCUCUUCCAGCUUUUCCAGCAGGGAGGCCACAGAGCAAAGCUGAGGAGGGUGUGGUUCAAGGAGGCAGCUGUAACAUCUCAAAACCUUCUUAAUCCACACAAAAAAGUCUCUGACUGUUCUGAUUAUCUCCAGAUCCCCCUCCACAGGGGGCAGAUGGAAACUCCAGUUUCCCAGUUCUGCUGGGAGGCCUCCUAGGUGGGACUCAGCUGCCCUGGCUAUCUAAGGCAUGCAGCUUCAGGUGAACACACUAGAAAGUUCCUUUUCAGUUUUAUUUGUUUUGUUUGCUCUGUGUUCCCCCAAACAAGCCAGAAAUGAGUCAUCCAUUCAUUCACUGGUGCAUUCAUUCAUUUGGAAAGUCUUCACUGACUGAGCUUACCACAUACUGUACUUGGCUUAGGGCUGAGAGGAUACAAUCAAGAUCCAGACUGACAGUGCUCCUCUCUUCAUUGGUCGAGGCUGACCACCGCACUUGACUUUGAAGCAAGCAACAAGGAUAGCUCUUGAAUAUCUGCCCAGGGUGAUCUGACUUGCAGGAAUAUGGAACAGAUUAGAAGACUCGGAAGCUGUGAUUGCUGCAGGUCAUGCGGAGAAGGUGUGCCCAAGCCAGACACCUCAUCACUUCCUGCUUCAUAUAACACCAUUGUGCCUUGAGUUGAAGCCAAAAAGAUUUCCAAUAGGACUUGUGGAAAUUAACUAAGAUGCUGAAUAUGACUUUGGCUUCCUCACAGGCAUUGGCAGCUCACAGGCUUUCCAAAAAUGCUUUUCUCCAAUCUCGGGACUAAUGAAGGGACAAGCUAAAUCGAAUGGUUUUGGUCUGAUAUAUUUCAUAAGAGGACUGCAGUGGUCAGCUCUACUGGUAGAAGAUAUGUCAUCUCAAAGCUUGCUUCCAAGAUGUGACUCACUUAGAUGUCCAGGCAAGUGGACUGUGGCUCCAGACAAAGGAACUGCCUACUCUGGUGGUUGAAUUGGAUGUAGACUAGAGGGAGAUCAAAGCCAAGCCUGGAGAAAAUGACACUCUCCAGACAAGAGAUGCACACCGAGUGAAGACAUAGAUGUUUUCCAGCAGUGUUUCUCAGACUGCAACAUACAGAUGGGUCACUGGAGGUUUACUGCACGACAACUCUAAAACCUCGAUCAGAGUGGCAAAGAAACUUUCCAGUGACACUAACAUUGCUUCACUGAAAACCACAGGAGAGAAGGAAGAAAAGAAAAAAUAAUCUUGAUGAUAGAUGGCUGUUGCUUCGUUGAUCUAAAAGGAUCAUGAACUGUUCCCUUUCCCUCCUUGGAAAAUAUACACAGUACAAUUAUUGAAAUAGAAGUUUCAUCUCCGCCCCUGCUUCAUGAGCUAUCUUAUUUCUGUCUGGUGGGAAUGGAAAGCUUUUCAGAAUGGAUGGACAUUGACAUACUCUAGGAAAAUAAUGAAGUAUGAUGGCAUUAUAAUAGCAGAGCACAUUUCUGGUUCAAAAGUUGAAUAAGACACACACAAGCUAUUAUGGUUUCAAGCUCUCAGCUCUUAAUGGUUAUUUUGGGGGGACUAUCUAUACAUGUCUAAUCUCACUAUUUUUAAAGAUGAUAUAUAGAUUAUCCUUUCCUAGAAAUAUCAAGUGCCUUGAAAAAGUGGUGAAAGUAAAAUGGAUUGAAGUCCAGUUGUGGUGGGAAGAAGCUGUGGGGAAAGGGAAUCAAUGAGAACAAAGCAGUAAUACACACACACACACACACACACACACACACACACACACACAUCUAUAUGGACUUCAUAAGGAUAUCCACCUUCUAUACAUUAACCAGAAAAGUUUUUAAAGAAAUGAUGAUUGUUAAAAUUUUAAAAGAAAAAAAUAUGAGGAAUAAGGAGAUAAUUCAGUCGGUAAAAUGCUUGCCAUGUAUUAUAAAAGCCUUAGUUCAUAUGCCUAGCACUCAAACAUAAAGAUGUGUAGGGAAGCACAAGUCUGUAAUUCCAGUGCUGGGAAGGUGGAGACCGGAGGAUU